rnacentral:lncRNA from 1 species
GGGGUCGCGCCAGGUCAAGAGUCCAGAGUCGACUGAGUGAGUUCCCGCACUCUCUCUGGCGGCGAGACACCGGCCGCCCUCCAGGACCUGGCCUGCAGGAGCGGAGAGGGCGGUGUGGACACCGCCUGCAGGCGAGGAGAAGGGGUGGCGGGGAGGGUACCUGGGUGCGUGGCGCUGCGGCGACAGGAGGAGCAGUGUGUGGGCGCCCGGCGUGGGGCGUGGAGAGGACGCAGGGAACAGGUGUCUUCCUGAUCUCCAUCGAACUGAAACGUAGCCUUUCAGCACACACUACACUUAAAGCUUUACUAUUUCGGGGAGGAUUCCUGGAAACAUAUGUGAUUUUAUGACUAUAGCAUGGCGUGGUGUCAGUAAAAGGCCCCGGAUUGCUCAAACUCUAUUGCCAGUGACAAAACCCAGUGUAAGCUGGCCUAAUAUAUUAAUAGUAAUAUGUGAGUCCUCCUGGGGUGCCGAGCACUGACGUAAGUGCUUUACUUGGGUCUUAUUUCAUCCUCCAGCAACCCAAAGAGCGGGUGGCGUCAUUGCCAUUUACAGAUAAGAACACAGGCUCAUGGGUGGGCGACUCACAUUAUGGCGAUGGAGCUGGGAUUUGAAAACACUGUAUCCCGCCUGGCAGAAAACUGGCAAGGUUAGGAUGGAGAAAGGAGAAAAAGGAAAGAUGUCUGGGCCAGGCGUAAACCACUGCACCCAGCCUAUUCCUUUACUUUCUUAAUAAGCUUGCUUUCACUUUAUGGACUUGCCCCAAACUCUUUUUUACGUGAGGUCCAAGAACCCUCUCUUGGGGUCUGGAUCGAGGCCCCUUUCCAGUAGAAGAAGGAUCAGGAGUAGACAAAGGAAAGUCCAGAUCCCUGGCUUAACGGAAACUACUCUCCAGCAAACAAGAUAAAACUUGCCAUCUCCCUUUAAUUGAAGUCCCUAAUGUUUACGUCCCAGUAGGUAUCCAUAUGGUCUCUGUAUUUACCAGUGGGCUGAAGCUUGCUUUGUACAUUACUCGGCAUGACACCACAUGACUACUCCUGACAGUAAUUUGAGGAGCUUCUGAUGAUGGUAAACUUGCACAGUAUGUUCAAAACCAACCUACAAUCUGUGUUUUGCCUGUAUGUUUCAAAAGGAACAUGUCUGUAUAUUUUGACUCCAGAAAUAUAAUUUGUCAAACAAACCAAUUAUCGUACCUAAAAUGUCUUGAGUUGUGUUUUAUCACAAUUUACACAGAUGAGUUUCAUUUCGUGUAAUUAACCUAUUCCAGUGUGAUGUUUCUCGUCCCAGCUUUGUCAGCUCUCUUUCCAGCACAGAAACAGAGUUCCACUAACCGUCGCCAAAGGCAGGACCUGUGAACAGCUGAAGCACCUCCUGGUUUCUGCUCUGCUGAGCCUUCCGUAGCAAAUCCCAGGCAGACAGGGUCCUGAGGAUUGAUGGCACCUGGGCAGCAGGUGUGACCUUCCACAGCAUUCUCUUAUGCCUCUCAAUCUUCCGGCAUGAUGGCUCAUUCCUGUAACAUCAGAGCUUUGGAAAGCGGAGGUGGGAGGAUCACUUCAGAUCAGGGGUUUGAGACCAGCCUGGGCAUCAGAGGGAGCCCCUAUCCCUACAGAAAAUUUUUUUAAUUAGCCAGGUGUGGUAGUGCAUGCCUAUAGUCCCAGUUACUAGGGAGGCUGAGGCAAGAGGAUCACUUAAGCCCAGGAGGUUGAAGCUGCAGCAAGCUGUGAUUGUACCACUGCACUGCAGCCUGGGCGAUAGAGCAAGACCCUGUCUCAAAAGAAAAAA